rnacentral:rRNA from 1 species
UACUAACCAGCUAGCCCGAACCCUAAAACGCAACAACCCCAAAUAAAUAACCCCUAAUACAUCCAAACAAUAAAACUAAAUCAUUUUUUCCCUAAGUAUGGGAGACAGAAAAGGACACACGGAGCUAUAGAAAAAGUACCGCAAGGGAAAGCUGAAAAAGAGAUGAAAUAGAACAGCAACGUACCAAAAAGCAGAGACUAAACCUCGUACCUUUUGCAUCAUGAUCUAGCAAGUUCAAUUAAGCAAAGAGCUCUUUAGUUUAACACCCCGAAACUGAGUGAGCUACUCCAAGACAGCCUUUAGAAAGGGCAAACCCGUCUCUGUGGCAAAAGAGUGGGAAGAUCUUUGAGUAGGGGCGAUAAACCUACCGAACUCAGUUAUAGCUGGUUGCUUGAAAAAUGAAUAUAAGUUCAGCCCCUUAGCUUCUUAUCUCCUCCCACGUGUGGCAUAAAGAAAAAUAGAAACUAAGAGAGUUAGUCGAAGGGGGUACAGCCCCUUUGAAACAGAUACAACUUUUACAGGAGGGUAAGGAUCAUACUAAUAAAGGGAUAUGUACAACGUAGGCUUUAAAGCAGCCACCACCCACAAAAGCGUAACAGCUUAAACAACAAUCACACCCCCCAAUCUAGAUAAAACCUUCCAAACCCCCUAAUAAUAUCAAGCCGCCCCAUAAAUAUGGGAGAGACCAUGCUAGUAUGAGUAAUAAGAGAAACAUCCCUCUCUCCCAGUACACGUGUAAGCUGGUGUUACAACAAACCAACUAUUAACGGCCGCAAACCAUAGAGCGUAGUGAAGCCUAAAACAGAAUACAAGAAAGGACUUCAGCAAAUAACCGUUAACCCAACACAGGCGUACAAUAAGGGAAAGACUAAAAGGACAAAAAGGAACUCGGCAAAAUAAUUUCUUAGCCUCGCCUGUUUACCAAAAACAUCGCCUCUUGACUAAAUACAUAAGAGGUCCUGCCUGCCCAAUGACAUUACGUUAAAUGGCCGCGGUAUCUUAACCGUGCGAAGGUAGCGCAAUCACUUGUCUUUUAAAUGAAGACCUGUAUGAAUGGCAAGACGAGGGCUUAACUGUCUCCUUUACCCAGUCAAUGAAAUUGAUCUCCCCGUGCAGAAGCGAGGAUAAUAACAUAAGACGAGAAGACCCUGUGGAGCUUUAGACAAAUAACCGCCCAUAUUAAACACCCCCCGACAAGGGAAGAGAAAUAAUGAUGUCCGUUACACGUCUUCGGUUGGGGCGACCUUGGGGAAACACAAAACCCCCAAACAGAAGGAAGCACACAACCCACCCCCCACCCCGCUUCCAAAAGCUAGAGACUACAACUCUAACUAACAGAACUUCUGACUUUUCUUGACCCGGCCAUGCCGAUCAAUGAACCAAGUUACCCCAGGGAUAACAGCGCAAUCCCCUUAUAGAGCCCGUAUCAGCAAGGGGGUUUACGACCUCGAUGUUGGAUCAGGACAUCCUAAUGGUGCAGCCGCUAUUAAAGGUUCGUUUGUUCAACGAUUAAAGUCCUACGUGAUCUGAGUUCAGACCGGAGUAAUCCAGGUCAGUUUCUACCUAUGAUACUAUCUCUUUUAGUACGAAAGGACCAAAGAGAAGGGGCCAAUUUUAAAAACACGCCCCACACCCAAUUUAUGCAUUAAACUAAACUAAAUAAGGGAGAGUAACAAAAUUUACCAAAGAUAAUUGUAU